AAUCGUCCAAGGCCAUAGAGAAACUACUGCAUUCAUUUCGGCCGGCUGAAUUAGGUUCAGGAUAUUGAUAUAUAUAAAUCCCUUUUGUACAUUGAUUGCUUGGGUGUUCAUUUGUUUCUGAUAUAUAUGUUUCAGUGUUUGAUUUAUGUUUUGAUGUGUCCAAACGAUCAACGAUGAGAGCGUCGCAGUGAAACAAUCAAUAAGAACUUUAAUAAAUAUUUGGCUUUGUGCGCACGUUAAACUUUGGACUCUAAAUUCUGCCAUAGAAUCGGAAUUGCGCGAUCGGAGGGUAGAGGGCAGGGUCAUCGCAACAAGCUUCGCUUAGCGGUGGCUCUGUCCUUGUGAAUCCUUCCCAUCAAAAGGUUCGGACUAAAUUUAUAAAAAAAAAAAAAAUAAGCUGCUGCCCAAGGUUUGGCCUUGGUUGAGUUUCAGUUUGGUUAGAAGGCAUAGCGCCUCUCCUUAGUUCAAGUUGCAAAAACGAGUGCGACGACUGCUAGUUCUGACUACUGAAAUCUGCUGAAAGGAAGACUGGAGGGCCUUUAGCAGCAGUAGCAGUGGAACUUGGAAGGCUGCCUUGAGGCUGCCUGGCUGGCCUCUACAACAGAGACGAAGUUUAGAAGUUAUUUGUCAACAAUGUUGUCCAUAUUGCAAGAGGUGGCUAACGAGCACCAACCAGCGUGUGCAGCAGCCGUUCCGUUGUAAACGGUGCGCUGACCGCGGAGCCGGGGGUUGUCGACCGCCGGCUGGCACUCACCACCGUCCACCCCAAGCUGGCCAUCAUCGACUGGCUCGAGCACACCAGCACGCUGAACCAGUUCAUCAGCUCGACGUGCCCCGACUUCGAGCAGUAGUGCGCCGAGACGCGCGAGCUGUUCAGUGGGAGCAGAUGAAGCGACAUGGGACUCAGAGCGGCGCCACUGACGUGCAGCUGCAGCUGAUCGGAAUCGACAGGACACGUGUUCGCGGCUCGGCCACCACUCAUCAGCCUGCUGCUCGUGCCGUUCCGUCUGACGGCGCAGAUGACCGGCCUGGCGGCGUCUCUCGACGCGUCCGGCCACACCCGGCUGCAGGCGCUGCGCUCGUCGCUUUGGGUUGUAAAUGCCGGUGAGCAGUGAGGGUUGCCUCGCUGAGUCGUGUGGGCGCUCGUCACUGUAGAGGUCGCUGUGAGCGCUGUGCUCCUCUUCGACCAGAGGAUAGGUGGCGGUAGCGGUCGGUACGCAGUCAGCAGCGUACUGACACGUCAUAUACCGAUUGAAGGUCUUCAGUGCGUUAUGAAUAUGGCGCGGGUAGCUCGAUUCCGGCGGCGGCGUGACACGGUGACCCCGUGACCUCUAGCCGUGUCGGUCCGUGUGCGCGGCCCAUUCGCCCCCGACUUGGGUUGUCGAUGGCGGCUGCCGGUGCCCUUAAAAUCGUACGUGUUUUAAACAAAUUAAAGGCAAGUGAUAGUGAUAUCAAAAAGGUAUAAUUUAUUUUCCUAAUGAUUUUAUUGCGUGCUUUGACUGAGUGUCUUGAUUUACGUUUGUUUGCUUUCAAAUUUACGAUAAUACAACAGCACAGGGUCAAAAGGCGGUUAAGACGUAGAACAGUAGCUGUUACAUUGAGGCUUUGUACGCGAGCCGGCCGGCCGAGUGAUAACUGUGCGCGCGCGCCGUAUAAGAGAUACUGAUUCGGAGAUACUGAUUUCCAAGAUCGUCGAGCGCCAAGUUCUGCGAUGGCAAUAUCUCCUGAAUAUAGUGAACACUGAACACAGCGACAGAUAACAACGCCUUGACAAUUGUUUUCGUCGUAAUACGUGCUACUCAAAGAAUGCCACGAAGGUGUGUCGUUGCUUUAUUUGCUAGUCCGCACAUCUGAGAUCGUUUGAGACAAGUGUUUGAAGUUUAACCGGAAUCGCUCUGAUAGCUGCGAUGCAAAUUCCAACAGCUGUUAUUCUACUAAUGAAUAGGUAAUUAUGCUAUUGCUGGCCAUGAAUUGUGAAUAAAUCACAAAUUUUGUAAAAGCAA